rnacentral:rRNA from 1 species
AAAUGACGGUACCUGACUAAGAAGCCCCGGCUAACUACGUGCCAGCAGCCGCGGUAAUACGUAGGGGGCAAGCGUUAUCCGGAUUUACUGGGUGUAAAGGGAGCGUAGACGGUGUGGCAAGUCUGAUGUGAAAGGCAUGGGCUCAACCUGUGGACUGCAUUGGAAACUGUCAUACUUGAGUGCCGGAGGGGUAAGCGGAAUUCCUAGUGUAGCGGUGAAAUGCGUAGAUAUUAGGAGGAACACCAGUGGCGAAGGCGGCUUACUGGACGGUAACUGACGUUGAGGCUCGAAAGCGUGGGGAGCAAACAGGAUUAGAUACCCUGAUAGUCCACGCCGUAAACGAUGACUGCUAGGUGUCGGGUGGCAAAGCCAUUCGGUGC